GUAGUAUAUAUUAUAAUGUAAAUUGCAUUGUAAAUUUAUUGAACAAUAUAUGUAAUAUAUAUAAUAUCAAAUAUGAAAAGGAGUAGAAAUUAAAUAUUAAAAAUAGGUGUAAGUUUUCUGUAUUUAAAGGGGUUUUUUUUUUUUGUUUUUAUUUGGUCAGGGGUAGGGAGUUUUUUAGUUGUGGUCGGGCUUUUUUUGGGGCAUUUUGUAGGAUUGGGACUCUCCUUUUUGCCCCGGGAGCUCGAGGCUGGCCCGAGCCUGUGGCCUCUCCCGCAGGUGAGUGUGACACGGUAGAGAAGGGAGCCAGGCAGUGCUCUGGGACUUUGAAUCUACCCAACUGUUUUCCAAAUGUAUUUGCAGAGAUUCAGCUGUGGGGAAGCUGCAGAGAAGGCUGCCUGGCACAGCCCCCCAGAAUGGGCCUCCCCCGACUGGGCUCCCGCAGAGGAUGGGGCAGUUGCAGCCCCCUGUCAUUCCUGUGAGAUUUGGGACUGUCUCCAUGCAGGAAGCAGCACAGGGGACUGGCCGAAGGGCUCGGGCUGGGACACGGCCCCAACAGGAGCAGCCCUGGCACACUGACACGGGAGGAUGAGCCCAGGUGAGGAGCACGGGCCCAGCGUGGCACCAAGACAGGCAUCUCCUGUGGGUUAUGUGGGGCUGUGCUGUGCACCCUGGGGAUGCUGACUGACCCCCUUUGUGCCGAGACAGAGGAGAUGCUGCUGCACCACGUCCCCAGGAGAGCCCCUGCCUCCUUCUGCUCUCAGGGAUGGGACUGGGAGACGCCUCCACGCCGAGAGUGGCACUUGGCAUGGCUUCAGUCCCCAGUGGAAGAGGCUGGGCUCCCCGCUGCCCAGAGCUCCUGGUUAGGGACACCCACGCCUGCGCCUGGCUCAGAGUCCAGGGUGCACUCAGUCCGGAUCCAGCCUCGAGAUGUUCCUGCUGCAGCUGCAGGUGUUUCCCAGUCCAGCUUGCUGAACCUCCAGCUCUGACUGUGGCACGUUCUUCCUUCCAGCUCUGUGUCUGAGAUGCUGCACUUGAUGGCUGCUCCAGUUCCUUCCAGCUCUGGGUAAAUAACUGGUGUCUCUUGUGUAAUCUGUGUCCGUGUUCUGUCGUUUGUGUCCAUCUGUGUUACCUGUGUCA